GGCCUCUUCCACGAUGGAGUCCGCACUGCAUCAGCUCCGCCGGAAGCCUAUCUGCUCAUCGGCCAGAAAGCAAUGGCCUCCAUCAGCUUGCAAGCAGCAGAGGAAGCCAUCAUCUGGUGCUGUGUACAGCAAGCACAUGCUUCGGGCAAGGAGGGAGCCAGCACCAUAUCUACAUCAGCAAGAACCUCGGUGCUCAAAAUAAACAUUUUCUGUGCAAA